rnacentral:rRNA from 1 species
UGGGGAAUUUUGGUACNNNUGGGCGCAAGCCUGAUCCAGCCAUGCCGCGUGUCUGAAGAAGGCCUUCGGGUUGUAAAGGUCUUUUGUUAGGGAAGAAAAGGCUGUUGCUAAUAUCGACAGCUGAUGACGGUACCUGAAGAAUAAGCACCGGCUAACUACGUGCCAGCAGCCGCGGUAAUACGUAGGGUGCGAGCGUUAAUCGGAAUUACUGGGCGUAAAGCGAGCGCAGACGGUUACUUAAGCAGGAUGUGAAAUCCCCGGGCUCAACCUGGGAACUGCGUUCUGAACUGGGUGACUAGAGUGUGUCAGAGGGAGGUAGAAUUCCACGUGUAGCAGUGAAAUGCGUAGAGAUGUGGAGGAAUACCGAUGGCGAAGGCAGCCUCCUGGGAUAACACUGACGUUCAUGCUCGAAAGCGUGGGUAGCAAACAGGAUUAGAUACCCUGGUAGUCCACGCCCUAAACGAUGUCAAUUAGCUGUUGGGCAACUUGAUUGCUUAGUAGCGUAGCUNACGCGUGAAAUUGACCGCCUGGGGAAUACGGUCGCAAGAUUA